rnacentral:rRNA from 1 species
AGGCAGCAGUGGGGAAUUUUGGACAAUGGGGGCAACCCUGAUCCAGCCAUUCCGCGUGAGUGAAGAAGGCCUUCGGGUUGUAAAGCUCUUUCAGCCGGAACGAAACGGUAUGUCUUAAUACGAUGUGCUAAUGACGGUACCGGCAGAAGAAGCACCGGCUAACUACGUGCCAGCAGCCGCGGUAAUACGUAGGGUGCGAGCGUUAAUCGGAAUUACUGGGCGUAAAGCGUGCGCAGGCGGAUUGUUAAGCAAGAUGUGAAAUCCCCGGGCUUAACCUGGGAAUGGCAUUUUGAACUGGCAGUCUAGAGUGUGUCAGAGGGGGGUGGAAUUCCACGUGUAGCAGUGAAAUGCGUAGAUAUGUGGAGGAACACCAAUGGCGAAGGCAGCCCCCUGGGAUAACACUGACGCUCAUGUACGAAAGCGUGGGUAGCAAACAGGAUUAGAUACCCUGGUAG